rnacentral:rRNA from 1 species
CGGGCGCGGCGCCGGUCUAAGUCCUUUGGAACGGGGCGUCACAGAGGGUGAGAAUCCCGUCUGCGGCCGGCGAUCAAGCCCGGGUGAAACUCCUUCGACGAGUCGAGUUGUUUGGGAAUGCAGCUCAAAAUGGGUGGUAAAUUUCAUCUAAAGCUAAAUACCGGCCAGAGACCGAUAGCGCACAAGUAGAGUGAUCGAAAGAUGAAAAGCACUUUGGAAAGAGAGUCAAAAAGUACGUGAAAUUGUUGAAAGGGAAGCGCUUGCAACCAGACCUGCCCGCGGGCGAUCAGCCGUCCCUUCGGGGCGGUGCACGCGCCCGUGCACAGGCCAGCAUCGGUUCCCGCGGCCGGAUAAAGACCCUGGGAACGUAGCUCCUCUCGGGGAGUGUUAUAGCCCAAGGUGCCAUGCGGCCAGCGGGGACCGAGGACCGCGCUUCGGCAAGGAUGCUGGCGUAAUGGUUGUAAGCGGCCCGUCUUGAAACACGGACCAAGGAGUGUAACAUCUAUGCGAGUGUUUGGGCGUCAAACCCAUACGCGGAAUGAAAGUGAACGGAGGUGGGAACCCGCCCAGGGCGCACCAUCGACCGAUCCAGAUGUCAUCGGAUGGAUUUGAGUACGAGCAUAGCUGUUGUGACCCGAAAGAUGGUGAACUAUGCCUGAAUAGGGUGAAGCCAGAGGAAACUCUGGUGGAGGCUCGCAGCGGUUCUGACGUGCAAAUCGAUCGUCAAAUUUGGGUAUAGGGGCGAAAGACUAAUCGAACCAUC